rnacentral:rRNA from 1 species
UACGUAGGGGGCAAGCGUUGUCCGGAAUCAUUGGGCGUAAAGAGCGUGUAGGCGGCCCGAUAAGUCCGCUGUGAAAGUCCAGGGCUCAACCCUGGGAUGCCGGUGGAUACUGUCGGGCUCGAGUCCGGAAGAGGAGUGUGGAAUUCCUGGUGUAGCGGUGAAAUGCGCAGAUAUCAGGAGGAACAGCCAAUGGCGAAGGCAGCACUCUGGGACGGUACUGACGCUGAGACGCGAAAGCGUGGGGAGCGAACAGG